CCUACGGGUGGCAGCAGUGAGGAAUAUUGGUCAAUGGACGAGAGUCUGAACCAGCCAAGUAGCGUGAAGGAUGACUGCCCUAUGGGUUGUACACUUCUUUUAUAUGGGACUAAAAUGUUCCACGUGUGGGAUUUUGUAUGUACCAUAUGAAUAAGGAUCGGCUAACUCCGUGCCCGUAGCCGCGGUAAUACGGAGGAUCCGAGCGUUAUCCGGAUUUAUUGGGUUUAAAGGGAGCGUAGGUGGAUUGUUAAGUCAGUUGUGAAAGUUUGCGGCUCAACCGUAAAAUUGCAGUUGAAACUGGCAGUCGUGAGUACAGUAGAGGUGGGCGGAAUUCGUGGUGUAGCGGUGAAAUGCUUAGAUAUAACGAAGAACUCCGAUUGCGAAGGCAGCUCACUGGACUGCAACUGACACUGAGGCUCGAAAGUGUGGGUAUCAAACAGGAUUAGAUACCCCAGUAGUC
rnacentral:rRNA from 1 species